AUUGAACGCUGGCGGCAGGCCUAACACAUGCAAGUCGAACGAGUGGCGGACGGGUGAGUAAUGUCUGGGAAACUGCCUGAUGGCGGGGGAUAACUACUGGAAACGGUAGCUAAUACCGCAUACCAUCAGAUGUGCCCAGAUGGGAUUAGCUUGUUGGUGGGGUAACGGCUCACCAAGGCGACGAUCCAUACCUGGUCUGAGAGGAUGACCCGCCACACUGGAACGGAGACCCGGACCAGCCUCCUACGGGAGGCAGCAGUGGGGAAUAUUGCACAAUGGGAGCAAGCCUGAUUCAGCCAUGCCGCGUGUAUGAAGAAGGCCUUCGGGUUGUAAAGUACUGUCAUCAUAGAGGCGUUACCCGCAGAUGAAGCACCGGCUAACUCCGUGCCAGCAGCCGCGGUAAUUC
rnacentral:rRNA from 1 species